rnacentral:rRNA from 1 species
UUAGUUUUUAUUUAUUUUUGUUUUUAAAAAUUUGUUUAAAUUAUUAAAAUAAAUUAUUAAUUUUAUUGUUUAAGUAUUUUUUAGAAAAAAUAAUAUAAAUUAUAGUAAAUUAGUAUUGUGAAAGAAAAUUGAAAUAGUUUGAAAAAUUUUUACUAUAAAAGAAAAUUUAAUUUAUUGUACCUUGUGUGUCAGGGUUUAUUUAUUAAAAAUUAUUAAUUUAAUUUUCUCGAUUUUAAAAGAUUUAAUGUAUUUUAAAAUUUAGUGUAAUAAAAUUAUUUUUAAAAAUACAUUAGAAAUGAAAUGUUAUUCGUUUUUAAAGGUAUCUAGUUUUUUAAGACAUAAAUUUAAUUUAUAAAUUUUAUAUUAUUAAGUUAAAUUAAUUAAUUUAAUAAUUAUUUUAUUUAAAUAUUUUAUGGGAUAAGCUAUAAAAUAAAAUUUUAAAAAUUAAAUUUUUUUUAAUAAAUAUAAACUUAUAAAUAGUUAUUAUUAAUAAAAUUGUUAUAAUUUAUUAAUUUUAUUAAUUAUUUUUUAAAAUUUAAAUUUUUAUUAAAAAAUUUAUUAAAAUUUUAUAGAUAAAAUUAUAAUGAUAAAAUUAGUAUAUUAUUUUGUAAAAAUAAUUUUUUAUUAAAAAUUUAUUUAAAUAAUUCGGCAAAUUUAAUAUUCGCCUGUUUAACAAAAACAUGUCUUUAUGAAAUUUUUAAAAAGUCUAACCUGCCCACUGAUAUAUUUAAAUGGCCGCAGUAUUUUAACUGUGCAAAGGUAGCAUAAUCAUUAGUUUUUUAAUUGAAGACUAGAAUGAAUGGUUGGACGAAAUAUUAGCUGUUUCAAAAAAAAUUAAUUAAAAUUUUAUUUUUUAGUUAAAAAGCUAAAAUUUAUUUAAAAGACGAGAAGACCCUAUAAAUCUUUAUACUAAUAUUGUUAUAAUUAUUUUAUUAUUUUUUUUAUUAAUAAUUCACAGUAUUUUAUUGGGGUGAUAUUAAAAUUUUAAAAACUUUUAAUUUUUUAAAAUUCAUUAAUUUAUGAAUAAUUGAUCUAUUAAUAAUGAUUAUAAAAUUAAGUUACUUUAGGGAUAACAGUGUAAUUUUUUUGGCAAGUUCUUAUUAAUAAAAAAUAUUGCAACCUCGAUGUUGGAUUAAGAUAUUGUUUUAGGUGUAGAAGCUUAAACUUUAAGUCUGUUCGACUUUUAAAUUCUUACAUGAUCUGAGUUCAAACCGGUGAAAGCCAGGUUGGUUUCUAUCUUUAAAAAUAUAAAAUAUUUCAGUACGAAAGGAUCAAAUGUUUAAUAAAUAAUUAUUUUAUUUUUGAAUAUAAUUAAUU